ACGGAGGGUGCAAGCGUUAAUCGGAAUAACUGGGCGUAAAGGGCACGCAGGCGGUGACUUAAGUGAGGUGUGAAAGCCCCGGGCUUAACCUGGGAAUUGCAUUUCAUACUGGGUCGCUAGAGUACUUUAGGGAGGGGUAGAAUUCCACGUGUAGCGGUGAAAUGCGUAGAGAUGUGGAGGAAUACCGAAGGCGAAGGCAGCCCCUUGGGAAUGUACUGACGCUCAUGUGCGAAAGCGUGGGGAGCAAACAG
rnacentral:rRNA from 1 species